UCCCCAAUUUUCCACCGUCUCUAUUUCUGAUAAACCCUAGACUUUCUACUAAUCCUCUGUAAAUCUUUCUUUCUUUUUUAAACCUCAAGGGAUGGAUUUUCUAAUGGAGUAUUCCAAGUAUCUCACUUCUUUCUUCAGCUACAAGAGGAGGGAUUUGGCGGAGAAUUUCACCAAUCUCCCGUUGAAUCGUAGCUGAUGUUAACUCGGAGAUAUCUUGUUGUUCAUCCAUCAUUCCUCUUUUAAUGGUGCUGAUUCUGCCAGGUGAAUCAGUAGCAUGGCUUCAUCCCCUCCUCUAUGCUAAGCUUCUUCUGAAGGAAGAAGUGAAGAUUCAUGCAGGGCACUCUCCAGCGAUCUAAUCUAACACCUGACCUGAUAAGAUGUCUCUGCAUAAAUGGGGUUCUAAUGUCUCUUUACAGUUGAACUCUGGGCACGUCAUCAAGGCAUUAUUCUCUUGUACCCUUGAUGCGAUGUGUUUGGUGGUGGUGCAUUUGGAGCAGUAAAUUUGUGAAUAUUUGUUAGUACUGUUUCUCAUCUCAUUUCCUGGUUUGGCUUCCAUGCAAAUCUGGCAUACACUGCUUUCUGAUAUUAUAAAUUCUAUACAGGGCGGUCACAAGUUCGUACUGCAAAGGAGCUGUAGGGGAUAUGUUGGUCUUUGACAUAACUAUACGUCAAAGGAAUUGCGUGGACAUGGAGACAAGAACAUUAAGUGUGAUCUCGGAAGCCAGCGCGCGUGCUGUCCCCACAAAGGAUGCCAAAGAAUUCGCUCAAAAGGAAGGACUUUUCUUCUUAGAGACAUCAGCACUGGAAGGAUCUAGCGUUGAGACUGCGUUUUCAACUGUUUUGACUGAGAUCUUCAAUAUUGUUAACAAGAAAACUCUCGUUCCCGAUGAAAUCAAAGCAAUGGAAGCCAAGCAUCCUUGACUGGAAAAAAACAUCAUUGUCCCUGGCCCUGCACAAGUAAUUCCCGACAGGUGAACCAGUAGCAUGGCUUCAUUCCCUCCUCUAUGCUAAGCUUUGUCUGAAGGAAGAAUUGAAGAUUCAUGCAAAGCACUCUCCCAGCGAUCUAACACUGGACCUGAUAAGAUGUCUCUGCAUAGAUGGGGUUCUUAUGUCUCUUUGCAGUUGAACUCUGGGCACAUUAUUAAGAGCAGUCAGAAGUUUCUACUACACAGGAGCUGUAGGGGCUAUGUUGGUCUAUGACAUAACUAAACGCCAAAGGAAUUACGAGGACAUGGAGACAAGAACAUUAAGUGUGAUCUUGAAAGCCAGCGUGCUGUGCCCACCCAGGAUGCUAAGGAAUUCACUCAAAGGAAAGGACUUUUCUUCUUAGAGAUAUCAGCACUGGAAACAUCCAACGUUGAGACCGCCUUCUCAACCGUUUUGACUGAGAUCUUUAACAUUGUUAGCAAGAAGACACUCGUUACAUAUAAAGAUCAAAGCAACAGAAGCCAAGCAUUGUUCCAGGCCCUGCACAAGUAAUUCCCACCAAGAGCAGUAUGUGCUGUUCAUCUUGAUCUUAGUCUGAUCAAAUUGUUGAUAUUAGGAUUGAACUGUUUGUUGUUUGUCUCUUUUUGUCUUAGCUUAUUCUUGUAUAUUUUGACUGUAUGUUAAAGUUUCAGAGGAAUAGCUUGGUUAUGCUUCAAGACUGGAAAACAGUGGGAAAUGGUCAGAGUCUUGAUGAAAUUGAAUUUAUGGCCCUCCCAAAAGACUGUAGCUUCUUCUUAUGGUACUUCUAGGUGACUAUUAGGAGGUCUGUUUUAUGCUUAUGUGAGGACCAAGUUACUACCUAAUGAGGCUAUCCCUUAGCCACUAGCAACAGUUACCAAUAUAUCCAUGUGCUUGUGUCAUGUAAAAA